rnacentral:lncRNA from 1 species
AUAGAAGCAAUACUUUAACAAAAAUGAGGGUAUAAUCAGGAAUACGAGACGAAAUAAUAUUACUCACAUACUACAGAGUAUGGAAGAAAAUAUUAUUCCUUAUGAAUACUGAAAAAAUAAUAUCCCUUACCUCAGAAGAAAACUGGAUACUGGAAUACUGGAAUAAUUGAGUAUAACUGAGUGACUUCUCACGUAAGCAUCAAUAAUC